rnacentral:lncRNA from 1 species
GACGAAAGGACAGCACUGCCCGGUAUGAAUACUCUGAAUCUUUCUCACACAGGUGAUCCUCGAAGAAUAUUUACUGGAUCUUUCAGAGCCGGAAACAGUGGAGCACUCACCAGCUGAUGCCUCUGAAGACUACAUAAUCAGAGAUGGUGCAUAAGAAGAUGGCUCACUCCAGGAAAGGUGUCCUGAAGCACUGUCAGAGACAGAGCCAUAACUGGUUUGCUCUCUGGGGAGAGUUAAUGGAGCGUGGGGAAUUGGUCUUGUUAUAUCAAUGAAAUUUAGUUCAGGAUCACUCUGACUCACACAAAGACUCAAACCUCAAUUUUUGUCCCUGAGAUGUGACUCCUGAUGUCCAGCCUUUCAGGCUAUGUAUGUGAAUUACCACCCACAAGGUUUCAGAUGAGUAGGUUUCAUUUCUGCUCUCAAGUUGUGCGAGGUGGGAGAUGUGAGAGGAGAAGGCGGAUGGAAUCAUCUUUCAUCUUUCAUAAAGCUACUGUCAUUUCUACAGGGCACUACUGGGAUCGUAAAAACGGCAAUUAGAAAUGUUGAUCUGAACGCCAGCCCUGUGCAAUUUGAGAUAAAAAUACAGACUUGCAAUCACAGUUUUUCCAUAUCCUGCA